GGCCUGAUGAGUUAGUGAAUUAAUUUAUGUUAAACUUAACUAAACAAACUCCCAUUUAGCACACAAAAUCUCUUCAAAUGAGACUGAAGUUUCUUGUUCUUUGUGUUAUUAAUGUAAGAUCAGGGUCACAUGUGUCCAGCUCUGUGUCUGUGAUGAGUGACUGGUCAAACGAUGGUGAGCCACCAAACUUCAUGUAAGAUCAGGCUCACAUGUGUCCAGCUCUGUGUCUGUGACGACUAACUGGUCAUACAAUGGUGAGCCACCAAACUUCAAUGAGAAAAAAACAUCAUAUACCAAAAGGGUUCAGAAUGAGACAUUAGAUGGAGACAUCCAGACUCAAAGGAACUACAAGCAUUUCAAAGACAAUCUCCUGUGGAUCUUCCAGGACCUUGAAAGCAAAAUAAUCCGAUUUCUGAAGAAUGAGCUGGAAAAGUUUAAGAAAAUAUUACAAAAAGAAGACUUUCAAUACUUUGUGAAGGACUUUAAUGAGAACAGAUGCAGUAUCAAAGAAGCAGCUCUUGAUCUCACACUCUGCUUCCUGAGAGAGAUGAAGCAAGAUGAAGCUGCUGAUACUCUAGAAGAUGAGCUGAUCUUCAUUCAUCAGCUAAAAUGUAGCCUAAAGAAAAAGUAUCAACGUGUGUUUGAAGGAAUUGCAAAGCAAGGUUAAAUGAUUGUAACUUAACAGACAAAAGCUGUUCAGCUCUGGCUACAGUUCUUGGAUCAUAUACCAGUCUGAAAGAGCUGAUCAUGAACAAUAAUAAUCUGCAGGAUUCUGGAGUGAAGCUGCUCUGCCCUGGACUGAAGAACAUACAAUGUAAAUUGGAGAUUUUGAGGUAAAUUGUAAUUGACAUAAUCUAUGUCAAGUCAAGUCACCUUUAUUUAUAUAAUGCUUUUAACAAUACAGAUUGUGUCAAAGCAGCUUUACACUAUCAAAUAGGAAAAUAGAGUGUCAAUGCAAAAGGACAAUGGUAAACACUCAAUUUUCAGUUAAAGGCAGUUCAUCAUUGAAUUCAGUGAUGCCAUCGUCCAGCUCAGUUCAGUUAAAUAGUGUCUGUGCAAUCAAGUCAACGAUAUUGCUGGAAAUUGUGUCCCCAACUAAGCAAGCCAGAGGCAACAGCAGCAAGGAACCAAAACUUAAUCGGUAACAGAAUGGAGAAAAAAACCUUGGGAGAAACCAGUCUCAGUAGGGG
ensembl:lncRNA